UGGGACUCGCCUCGGCCUUUUACCUCAGGGGCCGCCGUGGGGGCGGUGGUGCUGGCUGGCUUCACGGAGGCGCCCGCCCUCCCGGAUCGGCCCUGCUGGGGCCUCUGUGUAGGCCGGGGGAGGGGGGCGCUCCGGCCCCGCUAGCUGCCCCCGCCCCGCUAGCUGCCCCCGCCCCGCUAGCUGCCCCCGCCCCGCUAGCUGCCCCCGCCUCCAGCCCCGUGGUGCCGGCUGAGGGCGGGGACGGGGGAUGGCGGCCUCUGAGGGCGUUCCCCGCGGUCGGUACCUGUGUGGGGAGUCUCCCGCUGGCCCUGAGCCUGUAUCUGUAAACUGGACUCUGGCUGUCAGGGCAGAGACGUCUUCAUCGCCAAAUCUGAGAAGGACACAAAACCCGGACAGGAUAUGAUCUGCCAGCUGUACAGCUCAAGGGGAAUGUUCCAAGGAAAGAAUGAAAGUCUAUGAAUGUCUGAAAAAAAUAAAAGAUGGAAGGGAGGACACGUGGACGCUCUGGCUUGGAGAAAAAGAAAGUAGGAAAUCAGAUCCUCUUGAGCAGGAGACAGAGUGGACUGACCCACAGGCUCCUUUUCUCUUGUUAAUGUUUCAUUCCUUCAAACAUUCAUGCUUGAAGUGAACUUCAAACACUUGGUGAGCUGUAUGAAGACCAGCUAUGGCUUUAAAUGAAGUGGAGAACCUGCGAACACUGGCUGUCAUGCA